UAUCUUUUUUUAAGGUUUCCGGUCCAUUUGGGUGAAGAGUGGUCAGUCUUUAGUUGUGAAUUUUAUUGUUUUUAGGAAAGACGUUGGGCUCCAGUCCUUCUAUUCCGCCAUCCUAAUCCCGUCUCCAAGUUGCUGAUCUUCUCCAGUAGAUUCCUUUUUCAUCAAAUCACAAUAAACAGUUGUGAUUUUGGCGUGCUCAUGAAAGGAGUGUGCUGAAAUGCAUUUGAUUUCUGUAUACUGAUCCAACAUCCAGUGCCUAUUAAUGCCUUUGGAUUUGGUCAGGCAGUGGGCUGUGUCCAGCAGGUGGGGCUGGCAGAGCUGCCAGCUGAGGGAGGCCAAAGAAGCCCUGCUCAGUCAGGUGCAGAAAGCACAGGCCCAGGGGCCAGGAAGACAGGGGACCCAGAGGACACUUGACAUAGCUGCCAGACUGCAAAGAGGCCAAGGAAGGUACCUCUUCCCCACCCUUGGACGUGGCCAGCUUUACCAGAAAUCUGAGGAUCCCCCUCCUGGAACCCUUCAACCAGCCUUGGAGUGGACAGAUGCCUUCCCAGUGGGCCAUUCAGAAAAUGAAGGAGAUCAUCAGACCGAAGGAACCAGGCCCCUGAGACACAGAGGCUGCGGCUGUUGUCUUUACACCUCCACAGGGCUAUCCAGGGGCAGAACGACACAGAAAUGUGACCAAAAGGGGACAGACCAGGCCCAUAGGAGGAGAAGCUACAGGAAGCAUAAAGAAGAGCUUUCACAGGGGUUCCCCUGACAGGAGGGGACUGCCCCCUCCCGGCAGUAGUUAUGUUCUACAAGGUCCCUACAAACACGGAAUUUGUGAAUGCUAAACCACUGUGCCCAGGGGAAAUACAGAGGUAAGUUUCCUAGAAGCAUCUGAUUACACUGUCUUUAACUGAUCAAUACCUAAAUUUGUUUUAUGUUUGAUUAAUUAGUACUGAACUCACAGCUAACAGCACCAUAUCGCAUGCCCAAGCAAAUCUUAUCUACAUACAUUUUCUCCAUAAGGCACGUCCCACCUUCCUGUGUGAAUACUACACGGCGCUUCAACACUGCACUUGGGGCGAUCUUAAACCCCCAAAUCCCCAACAAAAACACCAAAGUGCAGAUUGGUGGAUGGCAGUGAAGACAAGAUGGCGGAGUAGAAGGACCUGAGCUCACCUCCUCUCACAAAAACACCAAGAUCACAACUAACAGCUGAACAACCCCUGACAAAGACUGGAACCUACCAAGAAGAUAAUCUACAUCCAAAGACAAGCAGCAGCCACAAGGUGAUGCGAGGAAGGGUGCAUUCAUGAUACAAUCAAAUCCCACACCCACCGGGCUGGUGACCUACAAACUGGAAGAUGAUAAUGUAGCAGAGGUUCUCCAACAGGAGUGAGAGUUCUAAGCUCCACCAUCAGGCUCCCCAGCACGGGGGUCUGGCAUCAGGAGGAACCCCCAGAACAUUCAGCUUUGAGGGCCAGUGAGGCUCGAGUGCAGGAGCUCCACAGAACUGGGGAAGAGAGGGUAUAUCCGAGGUCUCAUGUGCACUGGGACGAGGGCAAAGCAACACUCCACACGAGCCUGGGUCAGACCUACCUGUGGGUCUUAAGAGGGUCUCCUGGGAGGCAGGGGUUGGCUGCGGCUCCUUGUGGGGGCAAUGACACUGGCGGCAGAACCCUGUGGCAUGCUCAUUAGUGUGAGCUUUCCAGCAGACACCAUUUUGGACCUACCCAACAGCCUGCUGCCUCCAGUCCUGGGAGACCUUAGGCCAAACAACCAACAGGGUGGGAAUACAGCCCCACCAUCAGCAGACAAGCUACCUAAAGUCAUCCUGAGCUAACAGCUGCCUCUAAACACACCCCUUGACACGGCCCUACUCACCAGAGGGACAAGACCCAGCUCUACCUACCAGUGGGCAGUGGCCAGUCCCUCCCACCCAGAAAUAUGCACAACUCCUGGACCAAUCUCACCCACCAGGGGGCAGAGGUGCCAGAAGCAAAUGGAACUAUGAUCCUACAGUCUGCAGAAAGAACCGAAACACGGGAAGUUAGACAAAAUGAAAUGGCAGUGAAAUAUGUUCUGGGUGAAGGAACAAGAAGAAAACCUUGUGGAGAGUCCAUCUAUCUGAAAAGUAAUUCAUCAUUAAUGACAGUAAAGAUGAUCCUAGACUUCAAAAAGGAAUGGACACACAGACCAAGAAGAUACAAGAGAGGGUUAACAAAGAACUACAAGACUUAAGGAACAGAGAGGAACAAUAUAGUAACUGAAAGGAAAAAUACACUAGAAGGCAUCAAUAACACAAAAAAUGAAGCAGAGGAAUGAAUAAGUCUGCUGGAACACAGAAUGUGGCCAUCACUGCUAAGGAACAGAAUAAGAAAAAAGAAUGAAAAGAAAUGAAGACAUCCUAAGAUACCUGAGACCGUAUUAAAUGCGCCAUCAUUCACGUUAUAGGGGUCCCAAAAGGAGAAGAGGGAGAAAAUGGGCCUGAAAAAAUAUUAACAGUCAAAAACUUUCCUAACACGGGAAAGGAAACAUUCAAGUCCAGGAACUGCAGAGUCCCGCAGACGAUAAACCCAAGAAAGAACAUGCCCAGACAGAGAGAGAACAUGAAAAGCAACAAGGGAGUCAUCCCAAGGUUAUCAGCUAACUUUUCAGCAGAAACUCUGCAGGCCAGAAGGGAGUAGCACAAUAUAUUUAAAGUGAUGAAAGGGAAAACUUUACAACCAAGAAUACCCUACCAGCAAGGCUCUUGUUUGGAUUCAAUGCAAAAUCAAAAACACAUGAAAAGAUGCUCAACAUUACUAAUUAUGAGAUAAAUGCAAAUCAAAACUAUAGUAAGGUACCACCUUACACCAGCCAGGAUGGCCACCAUCAAAAAGUCUA